rnacentral:rRNA from 1 species
GAUGAACGCUGGCGGCGUGCCUAAUACAUGCAAGUCGAACGCUGAAGGAGGAGCUUGCUCUUCUGGAUGAGUUGCGAACGGGUGAGUAACGCGUAGGUAACCUGCCUGGUAGCGGGGGAUAACUAUUGGAAACGAUAGCUAAUACCGCAUGACAACAGUUAUUGCAUGAUAACUGUUUAAAAGGGGCAACUGCUCCACUACCAGAUGGACCUGCGUUGUAUUAGCUAGUUGGUGAGGUAACGGCUCACCAAGGCGACGAUACAUAGCCGACCUGAGAGGGUGAUCGGCCAAAAUGGGACUGAGACACGGCCCAGACUCCUACGGGAGGCAGCAGUAGGGAAUCUUCGGCAAUGGACGGAAGUCUGACCGAGCAACGCCGCGGGAGUGAAGAAGGUUUUCGGAUCGUAAAGCUCUGUUGUAAGAGAAGAACGAGUGUGAGAGUGGAAAGUUCACACUGUGACGGUAUCUUACCAGAAAGGGACGGCUAACUACGUG